AGAAUCAACGCUGGCGGCGUGCCUAACACAUGCAAGUCGCACGAGAAAGGGGAGCAAUCCCUGAGUAAAGUGGCGCACGGGUGAGUAACACGUGAAUAAUCUACCUCCGAGUGGGGAAUAACUGAGAGAAAUCUUAGCUAAUACCGCAUAAUACCCACGGGUCAAAGCAGCAAUGCGCUUGGAGAGGAGUUCGCGGCCGAUUAGUUAGUUGGCGGGGUAAUGGCCCACCAAGACGAUGAUCGGUA
rnacentral:rRNA from 1 species